AACUUUCAACAAUGGAUCACUUGGUUCUGGCAUCGAUGAAUAACGCAGCGAAAUGCGAUAAGUAAUGUGAAUUGCAGAAUUCAGUGAAUCAUCGAAUCUUUGAACGCAUAUUGCGCCCUUUGGCAUUCCGAAGGGCAUACCUGUUCGAGCGUCAUUACACCCCUCAAAGUUAACUCUUUGGCGUUGGGCAAUGCCUAAAGGCAUGCCUCAAAAUCAGCGAUGGUGAUAUUCAACCACAGGCGCACAAACGUCGUCUAGCUGGCGGGAUGUUGUCAGUCAAUUGAUGAAUUUCUAAAUGUUGACCUCGGAUCAGGUAGGAAUACCCGCUGAACUUAAGCAUAUCAAUAAGCGGAGGCU
rnacentral:misc_RNA from 1 species